AAUGAAGAUGUCAAUGUGAGGCGAGAUUGUGUGAUGAGCUGUCUGAGCAUCUACCUCAAUGAAGACCUGGAACCACUUGGUAAAGAAUAUGUGGUAUGUAUCAGAAUAGUGUGCCAGUAAUUUUUCCAUCUAGAUAAUAUGGAUUGUUCAUGAGAAUGGAAUGGACAUUAGGACACAUUGACCACCAGUAUUUCAACAUUGAGUCCAUUGGGUUGUUUUGAAUAAAAAAAAUCAUGCAAGGUAAAUGGUGGUAGAGCUGUCACUCUGAGGGAAUUAAAUCUGCUUGGUCCAGAGGAACCUGAAGAUGAAGUUGUCUGGGUUCUGGCACCCACAUGCCCCUUCUCCGCCAGAAACAACAAUCCUCGCCUAAACAACAAGGAUGCAUGUUCUGGACUGUCUGCUUACGAACUCAAGCGCCUUGAGAACAUCACGCACAAGGAAGCCUUCUUGUCGUCUCUGAAGAUAUGGCAAGUAUGUGGACAUUUUAGUAAAGGUAGUGGAAGAUCUGAGGCAGUCAGUGAAGCCAAAGCCCAAUGUCAAAAGGACAUUGAAUCCAGAGAGGCAGAGGAAGACAUGGCAGGAAAGACCAUGGGCAUCUACAAAGUACAAUCAAAGGAUCAUGGUCAAGGUGAUGGACGCUUCACUGAUGUCCGUGUUGUGCUGGAAGGUGUGGAGGUUCUCCACAACCUGUAGAGUGUCACUCAUGCAUGGGUUAUGUUAUAUGGCCUGAUCUACGCGCUCAAUUUGAACUACCCUAAAAGCCUGAAGUGUACAUUUGAGGUGUACCAGAAAAUCCUGAUGGACCUGGACUCAACCAAGCUUUCCCCGAAAGUACAGACACUGAAACUGAAAUUGCUCCAGUGGCUAAAAAUAAUAACUUACACAGCCCCUACCCAUUUUUUUUCACAUUGUGCUCCAACCCAGAGAUAUGUUAAAAUGAUUUCCUAGUUCUAUAAUGAUAUGUUAAUUAGCAACUGAAAAUGGAUCUCUGAGUACAGUUUUAUUUUUUAUUUAUUUAUUUUUUUGGGUGUCCAAGCAGUCAUGUGAUGUUCGAGUGUGGCUGUGUAAGUGGGUUCAUAUGGAUGGUUUCCUAAAUGUUGGCUGAUGUUAACUUGGCUCAAUCCAGAGUUUUGUAUAAAAGAUAAAUAUAAAUAAAUCUGGAAUUUUCCAGUUGGUCUAAUUCAAUGUGAUGCAUUUUUUGAUUUGGUUUAGUAUAUAAGCAUACAUUAAACAUGAUUCAAAUAAAUGUUAUUUAUAUUUUUUAGUUACCCCGAUUUAGUUCUCUUAAUUAUUAUGCAAUUUAUACAAUAAACUUUGUGUAUUUUAAAUAAAUACACUUUUUAUUAUUAAUUUAGAAUAAUUACACUUUACAUGAACUAAUUACGUAAACCUGAGGAUUAUGCAUUUAAAAUAAAUAGGUUUUAUUAUCCUUAUGAAAAUAAAUAGUAUAAAGUUUAUUUGGUAGAUUUGUGUUAAAAUUAUGAAAAAAUAUAAAUGGUAAUUUGUCAUGUAAUAAAAUUACAUAAAUCUUAAUUUUUGGAUGAAAUAUUUCUGUGAGUGUGGUAGUAAAAAACAGCUUGAACUCGAAACACUGUAGAGAAAUCAAACUGAUUGUAUAACUGACAUAUAGAAAGAUAGUUUCUAAUUGCUUGAAAUUUAAUGUGAUAUACACUAAUGUUCAAAAAAUUAUUAUUGUUA
ensembl:lincRNA